rnacentral:rRNA from 1 species
UGCGUAGGCGGAUUUUUAAGUCAGUGGUGAAAGCCCGGAGCUCAACUCCGGAACUGCCAUUGAUACUAUUAAUCUUGAAUACAGUUGAGGUGGGCGGAAUGUGUAGUGUAGCGGUGAAAUGCCUAGAUAUUACACAGAACACCGAUUGCGAAGGCAGCUCGCUAAACUGUUAUUGACGCUGAGGCACGAAAGCGUGGGGAGCGAACAGGAUUAGAUACCCUGGUAGUCC